rnacentral:ncRNA from 2 species
UGUGUAUAGGACGCAAUAGGUGCCCCAUUUUCGGGGAGAAUAGGGAAGAAAACACGCGGGCCCGCCACUGUAGCCGGGGAGCCGCUGACAGUCACUGGGCGAUUCGUCUGGGAAGGCUGUUGGCACAUGGUAUUGAUCCGGGAGCCAGGAGACCUGCCUAUUGCAGCGGACUACU